rnacentral:tRNA from 1 species
GGGGUCCAUAGCUCAGUGGUAGAGCAUUUGACUGCAGAUCAAGAGGUCACCGGUUGGGCCCUU